rnacentral:other from 1 species
UGGAGGCUGAAAUUAUCGUCAGGAAAAUUAAUCCCUGGGGCCAUAAAUUCUGUUUAGGGAACUGCCUCUGUUCUGAUUGUGGUCAGAGUAUGUGGUGCCCACCUGUUAAAUCAGGCAACAGAGGAUAAUAAGUCCAACGUAAUUUUGGCUUCCCN